CAGAAGGCAUCCCAGGGUCGCGGGAGAGCCAGCGCAAAGUGGAAGGCACCUUGUACGCUGUGAAGCGGAGAUGCAGAUGUUACCCUAACCAGAAGCCCACCCCGCCACAAAUACUGGAGCGCCCAGCAUGCGUGCGCCACCCGCUUCCCUGCAGAGGGCGCCGCGGGCCCGCCUCGCCGAGCGCGGGGUGAGAUCCCAGUAGCCCAGAGCAGCCCGCGGGGCAGGCCCGGGCUGCCGCGGACUCCUCUUGAAAAGCCUUUGAUGCUGUAUUCUUAGCACAUGGAACCCUAAACCAAAGCCUGCACUGGGGCAUUUGUGAGAAGCGUGUGUGCAAAGCCUGAGAGACUCCCCUUUUGGGCAUGCUGCUGGGCAGGGGUGUUCUGGUUUGACUUUGUACAUUUGGCAGUUUUGGAGUUUGCCCACCAGAUAUGCCAUCCAAGAAGACCAAAAGUACAGCAGGAUGAUUGUGAACAAGACCAGGGACCUCAGCCCUUGCAAAAAAAGGUUGAAGACUAUGUACAUGAACGACAUUCUAGGCUAUCCUCAGCCUUCUGCCAUGUGAGGAUGUGGCACAAAGGUGCCAUUUGGGAGCAGAAACUGGACCCUCACCAGACACCAGACCUGCCAGAGUUUAAGAGCAUUAGAGGCCACGGCUGGACUAGAACUCCAAGGUUCAAAUGAGUCUCCUGCCUCAGACUCCUCAGUAGCUGAGACUACAGGGGUGCACAACCACACCCACCUGGAAAGUGGUCUGCUGUGGUUUGCUGAGGGUCCACUCCAGACCCUAGCUGCCUGGGUUUUUCCAGUAUAAUGAUCACAUGAAGGACUCUGAAGGCAGGUAGACUCCUUUUGGAAAGCAGAGGAACUGAGCAAAACCCAGUAUUGGAACCAUAUACAGCAUGAUUUGCAUCAUUUGGCCCAGGUUUAUUUGAUAAAGUCCAGUUGUUCAUCCUUGCAAGGAUCCACUGGUGUUGAUGAAUGGAGUAAUCCACAAGCCGGAGGAUCUGGUGGAAACAUCGGUGCUCACACAUCACAUUCCGGUAG
rnacentral:lncRNA from 10 species